AUGAAGGCUGCCCUCUAAGCGUCUGGCUGGAAAGACACUUCCAGAGCUCCUUUUCUGCCUGGCUCUGUGGUUGGCCUCCUUUUCUGUCCUGCUGCAAGGCACAGCUUAGAAACAUGCUUAGAUGUAAAAGCUGAGCAGGGGGACGUCCAGCAGGUCCGCAUAAGGAACCACCAGCUGAAAGCUAUGGCCCAAGGCAAGCAUUCCCCAUUCAGGCCUCAUUUGACUGAACAGGAAUUGCCAAAAAACACAGCUGAAUCCUAGACAGAUGUUCUUCCUGGACCACACCCAAGGGUCUCCUUGAAGAAAAAGCUCAUUCAGCUUUCCUCUCUACGUGAGGAAGAAAUUCAACAGAUAUUCUUACCUUUGGAAGAGUG